rnacentral:rRNA from 1 species
CGCCGCGGCUAUACGAGAGGCUCAAGUCGAUAGAUUCCGGCGUAAAGGGUGGUUAGGGAGCCACAACCCCUAGAGAAGAACGCUCUUCAAGCUGUUAUACGCCCCAAGAGUGUGAAAUCCUGACACGAAAGCAACUCUACUUUGACCUGAACCCACGACAGCUCCGGCA